GUUGGGAAUAUGAAGGUCCAGCUCUCUCAGAUGAGAGUCGCUCUUCAGAGCUGAGGCCACACACUCUAAAUAAGCUUCUGGGAUCGAAUCGACAGAAAUCCUGUGAUGACAGAGAAGAUAAAACUUUAAGUUCAGCUCAUCCAGAACCUCCUCUGACAUCUCCAGCUUGUCGGCCAGAACUGAGCAGUGGAUCUCAGAGAGGUUGUUGAUGGCUCUCUGGAUGAUUU